GACUUCGAGGAGCGUUGCGAGGCCUUCCCGGCCCCAGGCUCGAAGCCGACUGACCCAACGGCGCUCACCUGAA
rnacentral:ncRNA from 2 species